GGAAUUUUCCGCAAUGGGCGAAAGCCUGACGGAGCAAUACCGCGUGAGGGAAGACGGCCUAUGGGUUGUAAACCUCUUUUUUCAGGGAGGAAUCAAUGACGUGUACCUGAAGAAUAAGCAUCGGCUAACUCCGUGCCAGCAGCCGCGGUAAGACGGAGGAUGCAAGUGUUAUCCGGAAUCACUGGGCGUAAAGCGUCUGUAGGUGGUUGAACAAGUCAACUGUUAAAUCUUGAGGCUUAACUUCAAAAUCGCAGUCGAAACUGUUUGACUAGAGUAUAGUAGGGGUAAAGGGAAUUUCCAGUGGAGUGGUGAAAUGCGUAGAUAUUGGAAAGAACACCGAUGGCGAAGGCACUUUACUGGGCUAUUACUGACACUCAGAGACGAAAGCUAGGGUAGCAAAUGGGAUUAGAUACCCCAGUAGUC
rnacentral:rRNA from 1 species